rnacentral:rRNA from 1 species
UUCGUAGGCGGGCUGAUAAGUCAGAGGUGAAAGCCAACGGCUCAACCGUUGAAUGGCCUCUGAUACUGUUAGUCUUGAGUCCGUUAGGGGAUGGUGGAAUUCCUGGUGUAGCGGUGAAAUGCGUAAAUAUCAGGAGGAACACCGGUGGCGAAGGCGGCCAUCUGGGACGGUACUGACGCUGAGGAACGAAAGCUAGGGUAUCAAACAGGAUUAGAUACCCUGGUAGUCC